rnacentral:rRNA from 1 species
AUUGAACGCUGGCGGCAUGCUUUACACAUGCAAGUCGAACGGUAACAGGUCUUCGGAUGCUGACGAGUGGCGAACGGGUGAGUAAUGCAUCGGAACGUGCCCAGUCGUGGGGGAUAACGCAGCGAAAGCUGUGCUAAUACCGCAUACGAUCUAUGGAUGAAAGCGGGGGACCUUAGGGCCUCGCGCGAUUGGAGCGGCCGAUGUCAGAUUAGCUAGUUGGUGGGGUAAAGGCCCACCAAGGCGACGAUCUGUAGCUGGUCUGAGAGGACGACCAGCCACACUGGGACUGAGACACGGCCCAGACUCCUACGGGAGGCAGCAGUGGGGAAUUUUGGACAAUGGACGCAAGUCUGAUCCAGCCAUUCCGCGUGCAGGACGAAGGCCCUUCGGUUGUAACUGCUUUGUACUAG